rnacentral:rRNA from 1 species
AUUGAACGCUGGCGGCGUGCUUAACACAUGCAAGUCGAGCGGUAACAGGUGUAGCAAUACAUGCUGACGAGCGGCGAACGGGUGAGUAAUGCUUCGGAAUCUUCCUAGUAGUGGGGAAUAACCUGGGGAAACUCAGGCUAAUACCGCAUACGAACUACGGUUGAAAGCAGGGGACAGCAAGACCUUGCGCUACUAGAUGAGCCGAAGUCGGAUUAGCUAGUUGGUGAGGUAACGGCUCACCAAGGCGACGAUCCGUAGCUGGUCUGAGAGGACGACCAGCCACACUGGGACUGAGACACGGCCCAGACUCCUACGGGAGGCAGCAGUGGGGAAUAUUGGACAAUGGGGGCAACCCUGAUCCAGCGACGCCGCGUGUGUGAAGAAGGCCUGCGGGUUGUAAAGCACUUUUAGUGGGGACAAAAAGCCGAGGGCUAAUACUCUUCGGUCUUGAUUUAACCCAAAGAAAAAGCACCGGCUAACUCUGUGCCAGCCGCCGCGGUAACAC